GGGAGAGAUAACAUUUUUUAUUAUUAAUUUUUAUUUUAAGUUCCAGGAUACAUAACAUUUAUGUUUUCCAUAUAUUCACCAAUUUCUUCCAGUGAAUGUAUAACACUUCUGCCAGCCUGAUUUCUGAAUUAGUUACUUAUAGUAAGUUCCAAUUUCCGCAUUUUCCACGUACUGGCCCUAAAAAUAGGAGGAGAAAGGAAAGAAAACAUAAAAGAAGAAUGUGCCUCUGUCAUUCAGAUCUUAUAACUUACAUAAAGAGAGAAGACACACACGCGUGUAUCAUCCCUUGAAUUGCCAGAGAGCCACCUAUUUAGAAUCUUAUCGGGAAGAGAUUGAGAAGUGAUUUAUAGAUGGCAGAGGAUCUCAAGGUUAGUUCAGAUGUGUUAGCUCUCUGCACAAAAGUCCUUUUGUCCCUUCACUAUCAAGGUGGUUCUCCAGUUUUAGCAAGCAUUGAAUCACUUGAAGGGCUUGUUAAAUCAACCUCAACUUUCUUAUUCAGUAGAUUUGGAUUAGGGCCUGCAAAUUUGCAUUUCUAACAAGUUCCCAGGUGAUGUUGCUGCUGCUGGUCAUGUGAUCACACUUUGGGAUUCCUGCUCCAAGGCUUAUCACUCAAUACCAUAAUCUUCAGUUUAUGUGUCUAGCUUCUUCUUUUGAACUGGAACACAGACGAUCUUGUCUUCGAAUAUGCAGGGUCCACCCUAUUGUUCCUCAGUAAAUUUGUGUGAAGUAAGUAAUUUGAAAGAAAUGUGUAGUUUUCUAGAAGCACAAAGAGGGAAAGAAACUAUGGCAGUCAGCAGGGAAGAAUCCUAUGUUCUCUCCUCCCACAUGUUUGGAAACAUGAUUCAUGCUUGGAGGUGUCUUAGAUUAAAAGCAACCUUAUGCAAGUACAAAUGUGUAUACAAAUACCCCAUUUUAUAAGUAUGCACACAGGACUACAGUCCCCAAAGGGGCAUCAGAAUAUUUUCUUCUCACCUUUCUUUUUUGUCAUUUUCCUUCCUCUUCAGACUGUCACAGCCACUUCAUGAAGGAAAAUAUUCUUUCUUGUAUGUUGAAUGUAAUUUGCCCCUUCCUGGAGUCCAUUCCCUUUGGGUUGGCGCUGGCUGAACUUUGCAGUCUUCACUGAAGGGGGAACCCUUUCUCACUGUUCUCUGGGAGAGCAGCCCCUUUGAAGUCACAGCUGGCUUGACUAAACUCAUUUCCUCCAUCCACAAUGUGCCUCUGAUGUAGUGUUGGCUGAGGCUCCCUCUUGCCGGCUCCUGCUCUUGAAACACACCCAAGUGCAAUGUUCAAUCAUCUACUUGUUUCCAAAGUUAUUUGGGUCAGCAUUUUCCUCCACCCACCACUUAAAACUGAUUUGUUUCAUACAUUUGAAAUGUAUGAAAAGCCAGAAAUCCAGGACCCACCCUGGCCUGCUCCCUUUUUCUCACCUACUGUGUUAAGGAUAAGUCAAUUGAGCUUCACUUCUCUAAUUGAAAUCACCGUGCUGAUGGAGUCUGUCUGUGGAAAUGAAAGGUGGCUACCAUAAUCUGUUGGGAGUUGAAUUAAUCCUCUGGGAGUGAGGCUGACCUAAUUACUCAGAAAUACUGGGCUUGCUUUCAUUCUGUGGAAUACAGCCAUGAGAAAGAGGCCAGCAUGCCAUUUCCUAAUCUUUUCUUGAAUUGCCUGAAACUCACCUAACAUGAAACUGAGAAGCCUUUUCAUUUGAAAGUGGUAUUUCUUAUGUUUUUUAUCUUUUUGCUUGAAAGUAUUCUUAAACUAAAGAAAGGAGAAACAGAAAAGGUGAAGAAGCCAAGAGGCUGGAGUUUCCUUUUGAAUGGAUAUUCAUCCAUGAAGCUGUUGAUUCUGUUUUUCUGUUCCUCCAGAUGUCUACACUUUUACCUCUGCUUGCCUGAUACAACCACCACCAGUCACCUCACAGAAUAACUCACUCCUUAAGAAUCUGAUCAGGAAUCAGCCUUCCCUGAUCACAAACACUGAGUUUAGAAGUCCCUCCACAGUGUCCCCCGUAACCCUGUGCUACCUCACUGCCUCAUAGUUUAGUGCCGUUUGUGUACAUGCCUAUCUUCGUCCAUGGAUCCAGAACAACUUGUAAAAAUGACUGUACUUAUCACCUUCAGUAUUCAAUGACUAAACUAUAAUUUUAACAUAUCUGGCAGAAUGAAUCACUUGGGGAUUUCUGCCAACACUACCAAUAUAUUACUCCUAAUUUGUAAUUAUUACUUAGCAUGGAUUAUAGUACCGGCUGUUGGAGAGCCAAUGUGGCAGACCCUAAGUGGAAUAAAAUGUCAGUAGCAGUCUAGGAGCAUAUAUUUAUUGGAAUAGAUCAUUCAUUCAUUUGUUCAUUAACUAAUUUGUUCAUUAAAUAAACAUUUAUUAAGCACUCAUGGUUUAGGACGCAUUUUGUCCAUUUACUCAUUCAUUUGUUCAUUUGACACAUUGUUUAUUGAAGUGCUAUUAAGUGUUAACAUUGUGUGUUUAUUGGUGAAUGUAACAGGCAUGUUUCUUCUAUGGGAAUCUUUUAGGAUAGUGGAGAUAACAGACAAUACAAAUGUAAACAUACAAAUGUAAGUUAUGUAAAAUGUAAAAUUAUGAGUUGUGAUAAGUGCUUUGCAGGAAACCAAAAAUGUGUAAUAAUAAAGAAUAAAAAUGAAAAGAUAGGAGGAAGAUGGGGUAUCUUGGGACCUUCCUC
rnacentral:lncRNA from 10 species